GGUCAAUGAUGAGAAGUAAAAGGUCUGAUUGCCCAAAUCCAUUCACAUAUUCCUGUCAGCUCCCAGCAGCUCCUGCUCCUCUCCCAGCAUGCUCUAGUUGUGCAUUGUUGGCCCCACAGGGCUGCUGACAGAGAGGAUGACCUCAUAUCCUGUGUCCCGAAAGACAGUGUCACAAAUGAGGGACGUCCGACAUGACCAGUCUCCAAGGAGUAUCAGGAAGUGCGAUUGGGAUGGGUAGAUGAUCUCAAGUUUUCAAGCUGAGACC
ensembl:scaRNA small Cajal body-specific RNA 6